UAGCGGCGAGUGAGCGGCAAAAGCUCAAAUUUGAAAUCUGGCGCCUUCGGUGUCCGAGUUGUAAUUUGAAGAUUGUAACCUUGGGGUUGGCUCUUGUCUAUGUUUCUUGGAACAGGACGUCACAGAGGGUGAGAAUCCCGUGCGAUGAGAUGCCCAAUUCUAUGUAAGGUGCUUUCGAAGAGUCGAGUUGUUUGGGAAUGCAGCUCUAAGUGGGUGGUAAAUUCCAUCUAAAGCUAAAUAUUGGCGAGAGACCGAUAGCGAACAAGUACAGUGAUGGAAAGAUGAAAAGAACUUUGAAAAGAGAGUGAAAAAGUACGUGAAAUUGUUGAAAGGGAAGGGUUUGAGAUCAGACUCGAUAUUUUGUGAGCCUUGCCUUCGUGGCGGGGUGACCCGCAGCUUAUCGGGCCAGCAUCGGUUUGGGCGGUAGGAUAAUGGCGUAGGAAUGUGACUUUACUUCGGUGAAGUGUUAUAGCCUGCGUUGAUGCUGCCUGCCUAGACCGAGGACUGCGAUUUUAUCAAGGAUGCUGGCAUAAUGAUCCCAAACCGCCCGUCUUGAA
rnacentral:rRNA from 1 species